UUGGGUUCUGUUCAGCGUCUCCUUUAAUCGCAGCUGGAAGGAUUCUAGGAAACAAAAGUGCAGCAGCUUGCCUGCACAGAACUCCACUAGGUCAAACGCACGGCCAUCAUGGGUUCGAGUACCGGCUUUAACCCGCUUUCCUGUCUGACAACUCUUAAAUGAAGCCCACUAGUGCUGACAAAAACAGGUUGGAAUGUCUUGCAGCUGGAGCCACUUCAAACACUCGGGAGAGCGACGGCGGGCACAGCAGCACUGAGGAAGAGCACCAGCAGGUACAAGUGGCAGCAAACCAGCCAUAAAAGGUUUAGAUCUGUGUCCCAUAGCAACCCUGAUGACUUCUGUCUGCUCAGCCGUUUUCGCCGCCCUGCCUGCCGGUGUGUGUGUGUGUGUGUGUGUGAUUUUCUGUGAGUGGUGUGCAGCACAACCUAUUUGGUUACUGGUGGAUGAAGGUUCCCACCCAUCUCCACCCAAUCCUGAAAUACACCAGUCUGCAUAGUCAGACACACACACCCCCGCACAUACACACAGACAGAGAGAGAGGAACUUCUUAACCUUCCUCUUAUUGACUUAAUACAGAGAAGAUAAAAUAAAUGUCCAGCAAUAAUCGGCACUCAUGUUUUUGUACGGCCUUUUUGAAGGAGCUGCGAUUCGAUUGGAUUAUAAGCUAAUAAGAAAGCUUUCCAUGUCAGAUGUUCUGAAUGUGUCCACAUUUUAAUUCUUUGAUAAUGCUACAGUGAGUUUUCCAGUCCAGGCUUGGAUAGAAAUGAGUUUGAGCGCUAAAGAACGCCAGUCUCAUGUUAAUCCAUUUGCAGAGGAUCCAGUUUUGCACAGGUGCAUCUUCAUAAAACAGAGAAUACUUGGACAGUUCAUUUGUAUACAUUUAAAUUAGAACGACACAUUUCUAUGUGAUAUAGAUGCACUGAACAGAGUGACAUGUUUCAUGCAUUUAUCCAGUUCAUUUUCGAUUUCCUGGAAGAGAAUUUAUUUUGUAGGAACACACACAUACGGUUUUUCAUACAGUGCUAUCGGGCUUACAUAAACACAAAGUGCUGACUUGACGGUUGUCCGACACAGAGACCCUCGUGAAGCUGCUGUGUUCACAGAAAACUGCAUCCAGGCACGUUAGGGGAAAGUUGAGUGGAAGGAAAAGUCUAGUAGAAGAAGUCAUACAAUGAAUUGUAAUCUCAUUCACAGUAAGGAGCUCUGUAGCUCUGUGUAUUAGACCUUUUUUAAAUUGACACGUUUAUCAAAGUUUUUUUUUAAAUUCUGUCUGACUAGAUCUACUGAUAUACAUAGCUG